rnacentral:rRNA from 1 species
CCGUAGUCCAUCAUGCUGUUCUCAAAGAUUAAGCACUGUAUAUGUGUAAGUAUGAAACUAAUCAGACUGUGAAACUGCGAAUGCUCAUAAACAGCUAUGGGAUGGUAUCUGCUACCUCGGAUAACCGUGUAAUUUCUAGAGCUUAAAUAGUUUGUGCCAACAAAACCCCGACUUCUUGGAAGGAUGGCCUUUAAUUUAGAUAAAAGGUCGACUUCGGCUCUGACCCGUUGCUCUGAUGAUUCAUGAUAAACUCGACGGAAAUCGCACGCCACUGUGCCGGCGCCACGGCAUCAUUCAAAUUCUGCCCUAUCAAACUUUCAUUGGUAGGAUAGAGGCCUACCAGGUGGUGACGGGUGGAUCGGAGAAUAGGGUUCGGAUUCCGGAGAGGGAGCGCUGAGAAGACGGCUACCACAUCCAAGGGAAGGGCAGCAGCGGCGCGCAGAAUUACCCAAUACCUUGACACGGGGAGGUAGUGACAACUAAAUGAACAAUACCGCGGCUCUUCGAGCAGUCUGGUAAUUGAAUGAUGUACAAUCUAAAUCCUUUAAACGCGAGCGAUCCAUGAGGGCAGCUCUGGUAGCCAGCACCGCGUGACUAAUUCCAGCGUCCAAUGCGGUAUAUUUAAGUUGUUCAGUUAAAAACUCGUAUGUUGGAUCCUUGGUUGGGGUCGACCGUCCGCCUCGCCGUCGUGGCACCUGCGGUCGUCCCUUCUGCCGGCGCAAUGGCGCUCCUGGCCUUUAAACUGCCGGGUCGUGCCUCCGGCGCUGUUACUUGAAGAAAUUAGAGUGCCUUCCACAAGCAAGCCUAACGCCUCUGGAGAUACAUUAGCAUGGGAUAAAUUCAUAGUGAUUUCGGGUAGUCCUAUUGUGUUGGCCUUUCGCGAAUCGCCCCCGAGUAAUGAUUGAACAGGGACAGUCGUCGGGGGCAUUCGUAUUUCAUAGUCAGAGGUGAAAUUCUUGGAUUUAUGAAAGACGAACAACUGCGAAAGCAUUUGCCAAGGAUGUUUUCAUUAAUCAAGAACGAAAGUUGGGGGCUCGAAGACGAUCAGAUACCGUCCUAGUCUCAACCAUAAACGAUGCCGACCAGGGAUCAGCCAUUGACCGCCACCAGGGCUUCGGCGGAUGUUGUUUAUAGGACUCCGCCGGCAUACCUUUGAGAAAUCUUCUCAACGUCUUUGGGCCGGGGGGAGUAAUGGUCGCCAAGGCUGAAACUUAAAGGAAUUGACCGGAAGGCGCACCCACCAGGCAGUGGAAGCCUGGCGGCUUAAUUUGACUCACGGACGGGGAUAGACCUCUAACGGAGCGCCUCCCACGACAUCAGAUAAGGAUUGAACACGACAUGAGAGCAUCUUUCUUGAUUUCUAUGAGCGUGGUCGGCUGCAAUUGCCGUUCUUGUGGCUGGAGCGAUGUUGUCUGGUUUAAUUCCGUUAACGAACGACGACCUCAGACUGCUAACUUAGCUGAUUGCGGAGGUGACCCUCCCCGCUGGCCAGCUUCUUUAAGAGCGGACUUAUGGACUUUUAGGGCCAAGAAGUUUGAAAAAGAAUGUACAAGGCAAUAACAGGUGCUGUGAUGCUCCUAUAGAUGUUCUGCGGCCGCUACGCGCGCUUGACACUUGAUGUAACCGUUCAACGUAGUCAUAUGCCUUGGCGACAGUGCCCAGUAACGGCCGCACCAGGAUAAAUCUUGAAAUUUAUCCUGGAUGGGAUAGAUCAUGCACAUUGUUGGUCGUUUCAACCGACGCGCACCAUUCCUAGCCUAAGCGCGAGCCGUCAAUCAGCCUCGCUACGGUUGACUCACGGUUCCCUGCCUUGUGUACACACCGCCCGUCGCUCCUACCGACAUCUGAAUGAGUUCCGGUGAAGGCUGUUCGGAAUCGCUUGCGGAUCGCUGGGCGGUUCGCCGCCCGGCAGUCGUCGCGAGAAGCGUCCACUGAACCUUUAUCAUUUUAGAGGAAGAGAAGUCGU